rnacentral:rRNA from 1 species
UACGAGGGGGGCGAGCGUUGUUCGGAAUUAUUGGGCGUAAAGGGUGCGUAGGCGGUUUUGUAAGUCUUAUGUGAAAUCUAUGGGCUCAACUCAUAGACUGCAUGAGAAACUGCAGGGCUUGAGUAUGGGAGAGGUGAGUGGAAUUCCUGGUGUAGCGGUGAAAUGCGUAGAUAUCAGGAGGAACACCUGUGGCGAAAGCGGCUCACUGGACCAUAACUGACGCUGAUGCACGAAGGCCAGGGGAGCAAACGGG